CCUACGGGAGGCAGCAGUAAGGAAUAUUGGGCAAUGGGCGAAAGCCUGACCCAGCAACGCCGCGUGAGGGACGAAGGCCUUCGGGUUGUAAACCUCUUUUCUGGGGGACGAGACCAGGACGGUACCUCAGGAAUAAGUCUCGGCUAACUACGUGCCAGCAGCCGCGGUAAGACGUAGGAGGCGAGCGUUAUCCGGAUUUACUGGGCGUAAAGCGCACGCAGGCGGCUUCGUUAGUCGGAUGUGAAAGCUCCGGGCUAAACUGGGAGAGGCCAUUCGAUACUGCGGGGCUUGAGGUUGGAAGAGGGGUGUGAAAUUCCCGGUGUAGUGGUGGAAUGCGUAGAUAUCGGGAGGAACACCUGUGGCGAAGGCGGCUCUCUGGAUUGCGACUGACGCUGAGGCGCGAAAGCUAGGGGAGCAAACAGGAUUAGAUCCCCUUGUAGU
rnacentral:rRNA from 1 species